rnacentral:rRNA from 1 species
GACGAACGCUGGCGGCGUGCUUAACACAUGCAAGUCGAACGGAAAGGCCCUGCUUUUGUGGGGUGCUCGAGUGGCGAACGGGUGAGUAACACGUGAGUAACCUGCCCUUGACUUUGGUAUAACUUCAGGAAACUGGGGCUAAUACCGGAUAGGAGCUCCUGCUGCAUGGUGGGGGUUGGAAAGUUUCGGCGGUUGGGGAUGGACUCGCGGCUUAUCAGCUUGUUGGUGGGGUAGUGGCUUACCAAGGCUUUGACGGGUAGCCGGCCUGAGAGGGUGACCGGACACAUUGGGACUGAGAUACGGCCCAGACUCAUACGGGAGGCAGCAGUGGGGAAUAUUGCACAAUGGGCGGAAGCCUGAUGCAGCAACGCCGCGUGCGGGAUGACGGCCUUCGGGUUGUAAACCGCUUUCGCCUGUGACGAAGCGUGAGUGACGGUAAUGGGUAAAGAAGCACCGGCUAACUACGUG